rnacentral:rRNA from 1 species
UACGUAGGGGGCUAGCGUUGUCCGGAUUUAUUGGGCGUAAAGAGCGUGUAGGCGGCCAGGUAGGUCCGUUGUGAAAACUCGAGGCUCAACCUCGAGACGUCGGCGGAAACCCUCUGGCUAGAGUCCGGAAGAGGAGAGUGGAAUUCCUGGUGUAGCGGUGAAAUGCGCAGAUAUCAGGAGGAACACCGAUGGCGAAGGCAGCUCGCUGGGACGGUACUGACGCUGAGGCGCGAAAGCGUGGGGAGCAAACAGG